UUACAGUAUAGGACUCAAGAUGCAGCCAUCUGACUUUUAUUUUGGACCCCUACACACUUGACUAAAAUGGUCCAAUCCUCCCCAUGGAUGGUACGAAGCUUGGCUCUUGACUGCCUGUCCUACUGCCUACAGAAGUAUGCCUCCACUGAACUUUUUAUGGAUGCUGGUGUGCCUCUCAUCCAUGCAUUCCUGAUGGCCUUGGUGAAUGGAUGUUUCCCCAGGUUUCUACCAGUGAAAGUCUUAUUAGUUGGCUCACCACCUUGUGCCAGGAGCUAUCUGUGCUCCACAUACCAGUCACAAUGGAGCCUCCACUGAGCUUCUUCCUUGCAAGCCAGAUGGUGAGUGAUCUGGUCCUUGAUAUUUCUAUCUCCUUUCCUGGUACCAAGUGUCUCCAUUAGGGUCUUCCGGGAAAGAGACACCAUGAUAGAAUCAGAAGUAAAAGACAUUUAUUAGAGAGAUACCUGUGAAGGUAAAGGGGGGAGAAAUCAGAAGUAGGUGGGAGAGCCUCAACCGUAAGGCCAGGCUGACUCCCAUGGAGAGAGAGACACACAGCUGAGAAUUUGGUUGGAAGAGCCUUAGACUAUAGUGAAGCUCUGAAAAGAUCUUGGCCAAACCUGUAGGGUCAGGGGGAGGCCCAGAGCAGAGACUAGCUGUGAGAGGAGUACUGGAUUGUGCAGGAAUGGUCUGGUCUAGGGUUUGGGCCUUGGUGUGGUCAUUAGCUGGGAGCAGCCCAGGGAGUGAAUUGCCUUGGUAUAGACACUGAUAGAUCACUAAAGUAUGGCAACUGGAAACUGUGGAUAAUGCCACUCUUCCUACUGUGUUCUCCUAAAGGGGAUUUAAGUGACUAGGGCAUUUUAAUGCUUAGAAUAUUCUAUAUUCUAACCCAAGACGUGGUGACAUAGGUGUGUAUACUUUGUGAUAAUUAAUCUAGUCAUGUACAUAGGAUUUGAGUACUUUUUUAUAUGCAUUUUGUGCAAGUAUGUAUGUUAUGCAAAUAAAUUUACUAUAAAAAUGUCAAGUAAAGAAUCGAAGCUACUAUUCUGAAUAAUUCUAACGUGAUAUUCUAAAAACAACCCUAGCCCUAGAAACAACCAUCUAGUGAAUUACAAGUAGUUUUGUUUUUAUGUGUGUUAGGGAAUUGCCUCAUUUCUUCCACCACACUCUGUACAAUCUCAAAAUAAUGAGUUAUCUCUGCAUAUUUUAUAGUAACUGAA